CCUACGGGAGGCAGCAGUGGGGAAUAUUGGGCAAUGGAGGAAACUCUGACCCAGCGACGCCGCGUGCGGGAUGAAGGCCUUCGGGUUGUAAACCGCUUUCAGCAGGGAAGAAGCGAAAGUGACGGUACCUACAGAAGAAGCACCGGCUAACUAUGUGCCAGCAGCCGCGGUAAUACAUAGGGUGCAAGCGUUGUCCGGAAUUAUUGGGCGUAAAGAGCUCGUAGGUGGUUCGUCACGUCGGAUGUGAAAAUCUGGGGCUCAACCCCAGACCUGCAUUCGAUACGGGCGAUCUAGAGUGUGGUAGGGGAGACUGGAAUUCCUGGUGUAGCGGUGGAAUGCGCAGAUAUCAGGAGGAACACCAAUGGCGAAGGCAGGUCUCUGGGCCAUUACUGACACUGAGGAGCGAAAGCGUGGGGAGCGAACAGGAUUAGAUACCCUGGUAGUCCACGCCGUAAACGGUGGGCACUAGUUGUGGGAACCUUCCACGGUUUCUGCGACGCNGCUACGACAUAAGUAGCCCGCCCGUCGGGAGGUACGAGUCGCGAAGAAUUAAACUAACAAAGGAAGUUAGACGGCGUGAGACGUACGCCGACGGACGACGACGAGGGAGGUUAGG
rnacentral:rRNA from 1 species